rfam:Equus caballus chromosome 9, whole genome shotgun sequence.
CUGUCAUGCUGGCUGCGCCCGUCAGCUGCAUGCAGCUUCGUUCAAGGAUUUUUGGAGCCCUGUGGAUUUACAGUGAUACUCGGCCGCCUGGGGGA